GCUCCCCAUGUGUUGGGGAGACCAUGCAGUUUCUUAUUCCAAGCAAGUCACCAGGCAUCCCAAAUUUUAUCAAGGAGAGAAUGAGAAAGCGAGCAGAAAAAUAGUCCUCUUGUUUUUUUUUCCCCCACGUUGACUAGGCUUAAUUUCUACACUGAUGGUUGAUUUUUGGCCUUCAUUUUCUCUUUUUUGUGAUUGCAGAUAUGGUUCCCUAUUUCGAACCAGCCUGGUGGGUCGGCCAGUGAUUGUAUCAUCAGAUCCUGAUUUCAUCUAUUUCCUUCUUCAACAAGAAGGAAAGUUGGUUGAAAGAUGGUAUAUGGGUUCCUUUGCCAAGCUUCUUCUCAUCAAGAAGCUGCAUCAAUCAUUUCAAAACAUGGCUCCAUACACAAAUAGCUCAGGAACUUAGUCUUGGCCUAUUUUGGCCCUAGCCCCCCAAAGAUAAGCUGCGGCCAUAGUUAGAAGCUGCUACAAGCCAAGCAUUGCAGGAUUGGUCGAAUCGACCGACCAUCGAAGUGAAAAGUGCCAGUUCAACUGUAAAUCAUUGGAGCUUAAUGUAUGAUAACGUUUUGAAUUACAAAGCUCUAAUUCUAGAUAGAUGGAGUGAAGCAUCAUAGGCACGCGCUGUUUCGAUGCCUCACUACAAGACUUGUAGUAAUAAACAUAAAUUUAGCAGUACCAUCACUGUCUCACAUCGACUUCUUGCAAGGACUCAUGUCAAUCACCUUGAAUAGUCCUGGUACUGCAAUUCCAUAGAUGUUUAAAAAGAACCAAGAGAGGCCAAUAAAACUACUAACUGGCUUGCUAGAAGAGAGACCGCGUAAUCCAGAGAUUCGCAAAAGGAGAUUUUCUUGAAAAAAUCCACGUGAAGGUAUUGUAACAGUAUUCAAGACCAUUUGCAAUUACGGCACCAUGCCUUCAAGUUUACACAAAAGACAUCUAGAACGUGGCUGGAUGAUGAAGAAACCAGACAAUAUGUAUGGUAACAUGACAUCUAGAUCAUGACUAUGGCCCAAUCACUGUCCUCUGGACUGGACUGUAAGGCCACCUCCUGAGCUCAUUGGCUCCUGUAAAAGAUUUCCCAGCUGAAUGAAAUACUAUCUGUUCAAUUCGA